rnacentral:rRNA from 1 species
AUUGAACGCUGGUGGCAUGCCUUACACAUGCAAGUCGAACGGCAGCACGGGUGCUUGCACCUGGUGGCGAGUGGCGAACGGGUGAGUAAUACAUCGGAACAUGUCCUGUAGUGGGGGAUAGCCCGGCGAAAGCCGGAUUAAUACCGCAUACGAUCCACGGAUGAAAGCGGGGGACCUUCGGGCCUCGCGCUAUAGGGUUGGCCGAUGGCUGAUUAGCUAGUUGGUGGGGUAAAGGCCUACCAAGGCGACGAUCAGUAGCUGGUCUGAGAGGACGACCAGCCACACUGGGACUGAGACACGGCCCAGACUCCUACGGGAGGCAGCAGUGGGGAAUUUUGGACAAUGGGCGAAAGCCUGAUCCAGCAAUGCCGCGUGUGUGAAGAAGGCCUUCGGGUUGUAAAGCACUUUUGUCCGGAAAGAAAUCCUUGACUCUAAUACAGUCGGGGGAUGACGGUACCGGAAGAAUAAGCACCGGCUAACUACGUG